rnacentral:tRNA from 1 species
AUCUUUUAAGUAUAUUUCUGUACGCUUGGCUUCCAACCAAGAAGGCUCUUAUAGAGAAAAGAUA